rnacentral:misc_RNA from 1 species
GAUGAAGAACGCAGCGAAAUGCGAUAAGUAGUGUGAAUUGCAGAAUUCAGUGAAUCAUCGAAUCUUUGAACGCACAUUGCGCCCCUUGGUAUUCCAUGGGGCAUGCCUGUUCGAGCGUCAUUUGUACCUUCAAGCUCUGCUUGGUGUUGGGUGUUUGUCUCGCCUCUGCGUGUAGACUCGCCUCAAAACAAUUGGCAGCCGGCGUAUUGAUUACGGAGCGCAGUACAUCUCGCGCUUUGCACUCAUAACGACGACGUCCAAAAGUACAUUUUUACACUCUUGACCUCGGAUCAGGUAGGGAUACCCGCUGAACUUAAGCAUAUCAAUAAGAGGA